ACUCCUGCGGGAGGCAGCAGUGGGGAAUAUUGCACAAUGGGCGCAAGCCUGAUGCAGCCAUGCCGCGUGUAUGAAGAAGGCCUUCGGGUUGUAAAGUACUUUCAGCGGGGAGGAAGGCAAUACGGUUAAUAACCGUGUUGAUUGACGUUACCCGCAGAAGAAGCACCGGCUAACUCCGUGCCAGCAGCCGCGGUAAUACGGAGGGUGCAAGCGUUAAUCGGAAUUACUGGGCGUAAAGCGCACGCAGGCGGUCUGUCAAGUCGGAUGUGAAAUCCCCGGGCUCAACCUGGGAACUGCAUUCGAAACUGGCAGGCUUGAGUCUUGUAGAGGGGGGUAGAAUUCCAGGUGUAGCGGUGAAAUGCGUAGAGAUCUGGAGGAAUACCGGUGGCGAAGGCGGCCCCCUGGACAAAGACUGACGCUCAGGUGCGAAAGCGUGGGGAGCAAACAGGAUUAGAUACCCGGGUAGUCCCAUG
rnacentral:rRNA from 1 species